CCAGUACCCUUGCAGAUGGAGAGUUUAUUUGCAUUUUUAUCUGUCCCCAUAAUGAUUACAGAUUGUCAAAUAAAGUUCUUCACUAAAAUAACUACAAAAACGUUUGCUAUGAUUGUGAUGCUUCGUCAGGUGAUACAUUUUUUGGACAUUAAUAAAGUUCUUCACUAAAAUAACUACAAAAACGUUUGCUAUGAUUGUGAUGCUUCGUCAGGUUAUACAUUUUUUGGACAUUAAUAAAGUUCUUCACUAAAAUAACUACAAAAACGUUUGCUAUGAUUGUGAUGCUUCGUCAGAUGAUACAUUUUUUGGACAUUGUAAGUACUAAGAAUAGUUUUUUAGUUCCAGUUUUUAA